UACGUAGGGGGCUAGCGUUAUCCGGAAUUACUGGGCGUAAAGGGUGCGUAGGUGGUUUCUUAAGUCAGAGGUGAAAGGCUACGGCUCAACCGUAGUAAGCCUUUGAAACUGGGAAACUUGAGUGCAGGAGAGGAGAGUGGAAUUCCUAGUGUAGCGGUGAAAUGCGUAGAUAUUAGGAGGAACACCAGUUGCGAAGGCGGCUCUCUGGACUGUAACUGACACUGAGGCACGAAAGCGUGGGGAGCAAACAGGAUUAGAUACCCCGGUAGUCCCUGAG
rnacentral:rRNA from 1 species